rnacentral:sRNA from 1 species
GAAUUCUAGGCCCAGUUCUGUGUUUCCCCUGUGUGUUCCUAGGCAGGUCAGUUUCCCUCCAUGGGCCUCUGUAAGAUGAGGAGUUGGAGAGGUACAUUCUCAGGCUACUUUCAACUCCCGGCCAAGUGACUCAAGAGUCCCAGGCAGCACCAGCACCCCUAUCUCCAAGGCCUCCUGAUGUGUGUCUCUAUUUAGAACUUAAUCCAACCUACCCAACAUCAGAUCAGUGUCUUACCAGCCCAAGGUCCCUGGGGAGCCUCCUAGAGGGAGAGAGCCCUGCCCACCCAGAUUGAGGGUAAAGGCCUCCCCGUGCUCAUUUUUGUACCAUCACAGUGCUUGGCACAUGGUAGACAUCAAAAUGUGUGUGCUGAAAGUAUAAUUGAAGUUGUGUAUAUAUGUCAGCUAGAGUGUCUGGAGGGGCAGAAAUGUGGGUCUAAAACAUACAAAUGCUCCAAAUGGGGUGUGGGCAAGGGUCUGUCUACACCAGGCUGUGAUUAUCUGCUCACAUACAUGUGUCUAUCUGAGUAGGGGUAUGUUAUCUAUUUUUCUACACCACAGGGUGAGGAACAGGUAUAUGUGUGCAUGUGUAUGCAUCCGUGUGUGUGUGUAUGUGUGUGUGCAUGAGUGUGUGUGUGUGUCCAAAGCCACCUCUUCAACCUGUGCCAUUUGUAUCUGUGUCUGGCCCAAUGAGAGUGUUGAAAGGUGAGCCACAAGAUAAAACAGCAACUUCCUACCUUCCUUAUCAAGACAGCUGUCUGACCUACCUCCCCUUGGCCACUCUUGGGAUUACUGGGGUUGGCUUCAGUAUUUUCAGAUUUUUCAGAAGGGGAGGAGAAUGCUUGAGUCUCAUCCAGGAACUUAGGCAGUUCUCAGCACUGCCUGCUCCUCCUCCCUCAAAUAACCAAGUCUGAAGACCAGGAGAGAAAGCCGCUGGUGGACUGGUCACCUGUCUGGCAGUGGGAGGAGGAGAGUGAGAGGUUUCUAGGUUAGGAAUCCAGACUUAGACCCUCCCCUCCACCCCCAGAUGGGUGGUGCACAGGCUCAUCUCGCGGCCCCUCCCCACUCCACCCUAACAUGGAUACGCCCCCAACAACCAAGGAAAGAUCUCCCAUCGGCUGACUCCACAGAUACACACAUGUCCCCACAGACACACACACGCCCAUGCAGAGGCACAGACAUCCAGGCACAUCUUUCCCUUUCUCUGUCUUUCCCUUGGUUUGAAUUUCGUUUAGCCACAUAUGUUGUGUGUGCGUGAGGGUGGGUGGGGGAGGGGCAGACAGGGAUGAGGGAUGGCAUGGUGCCAACAUCUACCUAUGGGGCUCGGGCCAGGGACGCCCCUUACAGCCAUCCUGGGAGGGGGUCUCAGCUGUCCCUUUGUGGCCAAGGGGACCCUCCUGGGGAGUGGGGGCAAGCACAGAGGUCCUUUCUCCCCAACCCGGGGUCUGGUCCCUGACCCACCUUGGGGGCCUGCAGGGGAGGAAAUGGACAGAGCGGGACCCUGAGGGAGCAUAGAAUUGGCCACCACGAGCCCCCAGUGUCCAGCCUUGCCACCCCAUUGUUCCCGUUUGGGGGUCUCUAUAUACAGGGGGGCAACUCCUCCCACCUUCCUCUCAAUCCCUGCUUUCCCUGCGUUGGGCGGGGAGGGGAGGGCGGCAGAAAUAUUUAUUUAUUUCCUUUAUUUAUUUAAUUUUUUUUUUUUUUUGGAGUAGAGAGUGACAGAUGGCGGCGGGUCCCGGGGGAGCCGGCUCUCCCCCAGUGCAGACGCAUGCCAAUCACCGUCUCUCAUGUGAUAGCUGCUGCCCGUGACGUGCCAAGCCCAUAUGGCCUGGCAUAGAGGCUGGUACCCCGCCUGGUAGAGAUGCCACACUCGCUCCGCGGUUCGCAUGGCGCUCUGAAGACGCCGGCGCCCGCCGCCUUGAGGAGCCGCUGCCCCCGCUCCCUGAAGAUGGGGGAACAAUGAAAUAAGCGAGAAGAUCCCUCUUCUCCCCCCUCUCUCUCUUGCCCCCUCCCCCCCUCCCCUCCCCUCUCCCCUUGACUCCUCUCCGAGGUAAGUUGUCCGAAAGGGAGCGAGAUCUGACCCGCCGGUUGGGAGGAGGGGCGGCAGCUUCGGCCGACAGGAGGGUCCUCAAAUACCUCCUUCCUGGGAUGAUGCCCCCCUCAUUGGGUGGGCAUCGGAGGCGCCCCAGGUUCUCUCUCCCUUAGGGGCUGCAGCCCAGGGGGCUGCAGAGGAGGUGUCUCUGCCUGCGAUGGGCUCGGUGGGGGGGAAGGCAGGAUCACGGAGGGGGAUAUGCGAAGAGGCCGAGACGGAGGACCCCUCCAUGGUUGUCCCAAAAAGCCUGCCACCUUUCCCCACCACCGAAAAAAGGGAAGCAAACAAACAAAUUUGGAUUUUUCCCCCAUCAAUCCCAAAAUACAACGAGAUCUGAAGAGCCUUGUGGGAGGGAGUCAGCUUGAAGGGGGAAGGGGGUCCCUGACCGCAGAGGGGACGGACUGGGCUCGCUUCUCUGAGUCUCCUCCCCACGCCCCGCUUCUUCAGUCCUCGCCGCCCAGAGCCGGCUCCGGGAGCUGGGGACGCAUCGGCUAGAGGAGACGAUCCUCCCGCCUCUGGAAUUGGGGGUGCGGGGGUGGGGGCCGAGCAAGGGGCGGCGCGCAGCCAAGUUGCAAAUUGGAUUAGGGAGCGUGGGGGUGAGAGCCACGGGAGGGGUGAGGGAGCUGGGCCGGGGGGCCCGGGCCGCGAGAGCGCGGAGCGGGGCAGCUGUCCCCACCGGUGGCCGACCAGCCUCUCUCCACCGCCAGGAGAGAACGGGCUUUCAGGGCGAGCGCGCCGCCUCCCCUGGCAAAGAUAUCUGGUCCCUGAAACCCCCCACCCGGUCCCCGCCCUGACCCUGAGAAGAAGCAGGCACGGGGAGCAGCCCCCCAUUCAAGCGAGGGGCGGAGCCGGGGCCCAGCGCCGGGGAGAGGGCCUGGGCCGAGAUCCCAGGCCGGCAGCCGGGUAGGGCUGGGCCGGCUCUGGGCGGGGCAGGCGGCGGAGGUGGGCAUCCAGGGUAGCCUAGGCAGGAGCCCGCACGAUACUCGGGGGUGGAGGAGGGUUGUGGGGGGGCGUCGGUACCCCAGCGCGCCCCUCACUUUGUGCUGUCUGUCUCCCCUUCCCGCCCGCGGGGCGCCCUCAGGCACCAUGCUGACCCGCCUGUUCAGCGAGCCCGGCCUUCUCUCGGACGUGCCCAAGUUCGCCAGCUGGGGCGACGGCGAAGACGACGAGCCGAGGAGCGACAAGGGCGACGCGCCGCCACCGCCACCGCCUGCGCCCGGGCCAGGGGCUCCGGGGCCAGCCCGGGCGGCCAAGCCAGUCCCUCUCCGUGGAGAAGAGGGGACGGAGGCCACGUUGGCCGAGGUCAAGGAGGAAGGCGAGCUGGGGGGAGAGGAGGAGGAGGAAGAGGAGGAGGAAGAAGGACUGGACGAGGCGGAGGGCGAGCGGCCCAAGAAGCGCGGGCCCAAGAAGCGCAAGAUGACCAAGGCGCGCUUGGAGCGCUCCAAGCUUCGGCGGCAGAAGGCGAACGCGCGGGAGCGCAACCGCAUGCACGACCUGAACGCAGCCCUGGACAACCUGCGCAAGGUGGUGCCCUGCUACUCCAAGACGCAGAAGCUGUCCAAGAUCGAGACGCUGCGCCUAGCCAAGAACUAUAUCUGGGCGCUCUCGGAGAUCCUGCGCUCCGGCAAGCGGCCAGACCUAGUGUCCUACGUGCAGACUCUGUGCAAGGGUCUGUCGCAGCCCACCACCAAUCUGGUGGCCGGCUGUCUGCAGCUCAACUCUCGCAACUUCCUCACGGAGCAAGGCGCCGACGGUGCCGGCCGCUUCCACGGCUCGGGCGGCCCGUUCGCCAUGCACCCCUACCCGUACCCGUGCUCGCGCCUGGCGGGCGCACAGUGCCAGGCGGCCGGCGGCCUGGGCGGCGGCGCGGCGCACGCCCUGCGGACCCACGGCUACUGCGCCGCCUACGAGACGCUGUAUGCGGCGGCAGGCGGUGGCGGCGCGAGCCCGGACUACAACAGCUCCGAGUACGAGGGCCCGCUCAGCCCCCCGCUCUGUCUCAAUGGCAACUUCUCACUCAAGCAGGACUCCUCGCCCGACCACGAGAAAAGCUACCACUACUCUAUGCACUACUCGGCGCUGCCCGGUUCGCGGCCCACGGGCCACGGGCUAGUCUUCGGCUCGUCGGCUGUGCGCGGGGGCGUCCACUCGGAGAAUCUCUUGUCUUACGAUAUGCACCUUCACCACGACCGGGGCCCCGUGUACGAGGAGCUCAAUGCGUUUUUUCAUAACUGAGACUUCGCGCCGGCUCCCUUCUUUUUCUUUUGCCUUUGCCCGCCCCCCUGUCCCCAGCCCCCAGAGCGCAGGGACACCCCCACCUACCCCGGCGCCGGGCGCGGGGAGCGGGCCACCGGUCCUGCUGCUCUCCUGGGGCAGCGCAGUCCUGUUACCUGUGGGUGGCCUGUCCCAGGGGCCUCGCUUCCCCCAGGGGACUCGCCUUCUCUCUCCCCAAGGGGUUCCCUCCUCCUCUCUCCCAAGGAGUGCUUCUCCAGGGACCUCUCUCCGGGGGCUCCCUGGAGGCACCCCUCCCCCAUUCCCAAUAUCUUCGCUGAGGUUUCCUCCUCCCCCUCCUCCCUGCAGGCCCAAGGCGUUGGUAAGGGGGCAGCUGAGCAAUGGAACGCGUUUCCCCCUCUCAUUAUUAUUUUAAAAACAGACACCCAGCUGCCGAGGCAAAAAGGAGCCAGGCGCUCCCUCUUUCUUGAAGAGGGUAGAAGUCAGGGCGCCGGAGCCCGGGCCUGGAACGCCCUCACCCCCAACCUCCAGUCUCCGCGUUUUGCGAUUUUAAUUUUGGCGGGAGGGGAAGUGGAUUGAGAGGAAAGAGAGAGGCCAAGACAAUUUGUAACUAGAAUCCGUUUUUCCCUUUUCCUUUUUUUAAACAAACAAACAUACAAAAAAAAAAAAAAAAAAAAAAAAAAGCUAAGAGGCGACGGAAGCCGAACGCAGAGUCCGGAUCGGAGAGAAAACGCAGUAAGGACUUUUAGAAGCAAUAAAAGGCAAAAAAAACAAAAAACAAAAAAACAAACAAAAAAAAAACCACUACUACCAAUAAUCAAAGACACAAAUAUCUAUGCAAGGAGGCUCCACUGAGCCUCGCGGCCCGGCCCGGCCCCGGGAUGCCCCGCCCGGCCUGCGGGCCGCCCCGCCCGAGCGCGGAUCUGUGCACUUUGGUGAAGUGGGGGCCCGCGCCGCCCCCUCCCCCUCCCCAGGUUCUUACAAUCAGUGACUCGGAGAUUUGGGGCCCCAGUGCCACUGCCCUCCCCCGCCCCGUCCCCGUUGUGCGUCAUGCUGUUUUUUAAAAACCUGUUUCCAAAUUUGUAUGGAAUGGCAAACUGUUGGGGGGUCGGUUUGGGGAGGGAGGGUUUGCAUGAAAGACACACGCACACCACACCGCACGCACAAGCAGGCCCGGCGCCGGCGUCCGGGGGGCAGAAGGAGGUGAGCUCACCGGCUCCUCCUCCCCGCGGCCAUUCUGUCCCCUCCUGGGGUGAGGGGUGGGGAUGGAGACCUGGGGGCAGCCCCACCCCUGCCCAGACUGUGCCUCGGUGGGUGCCAGGCGCCCGGCGAUUUCCGGUGUCUGGAGAGAGUAUUUUUUGGUCCAAGGAGUCCUCCUGGCUUUAGCUGGUGGGUGGGCGGGGAGAGGUCUGAGGGCUCCUACUGGAGGUUCCCCCAAAAAGGGGCAAAAGGAGACCCUCUGCCCACCGGAGGCAGGGGAUCAGGCAUCCAAAUACACGAUGCAAAAAUGCAAACCCACAGGCGACACACCCACACACUCACCCACACACACGCAAUUUUACCUUCCUCUUGUAGCGAAGAUGAAACUCCCGUCGGACACCCGAAGUGCAUUGCGUGUUUCUGUUCAGUUUAAUGACGAUUAAUAAAUAUUUAUGUAAAUGAGAUGCAAAGCCGGACCGGUUUCUCACGGUGGCCUCAUUUCAUUGAGGGGGGAGAGAAGGUUUGAGCUGGGGCUGGGGUGAUGAAGGCAGAGUGUCAAGUGACUGUGCAGAGGCCAAACAGAGGGACCCUGGACAUUCUUGGGUAGUAUUCUCUCCCUAACCACCCCCCAUACACCCACUGGGCUAUACUAGCUACCCCUCCCAGACCCAACCCAGGCUCGCACCUUCCCAGCACUAAAGCACUGAU